UCUCUCCUUCUCCAGCGUCCAGCAGGGCAUGGCAGCUGCACUGUGUUCAGGCCUUCUGGAUGACCUUCUGAAAAACAGCACCUGUCUUCCUCGCCAGGAUCUGCUGCUGGGCACUGGUUAUUUACUUAAGAAAGGAUCUGUGAACUGGCAGAAGUACGAUGGAGGCCACCUACUUUAAGUUGGUUGUUUGCACUCCUGUAUGUCCCCUCCAUCCUGCUGUUAAAGCCAGUCUGACCCCCUCCAGCACGUCAUCUCGCCUGAGAGCUGAAGUUAAGGGAAUGUAACGUCACCAAACGGAUGUGGCCUCAGCAAGUAACUUCAUAGCUGUGAGCUUUGGUUUGCUUUUUAGUGACAUGGAAAGGCCUGUAUGGUGAAAGUUUUCACUCAUUGCUUUGCCUAAGUCUUCUCAUUUUCACUUACUUCUUCCCAGUUUAUCCAGCUUUUCACAUAAAAGGAAAAUAAUAAAGCCAAAAUCCAAAACAUACAUAUUUUUCAGGGACACACCCUCAUGUACCAAUUGUGCAUAUAUCACUUCUUCCUGCUUAAAAAUGGAGAUUUCUUUUGAAGGGUUAUGUUUGAUUUUGAGCCAGAGUUUUCAGUAUGAAGAAGCUCUUUUUGGGCUUUUAGGACUUCAGGUAAUGCACAAAUUCUCAGGUGUCUCUCGCAGUCAGUGUUCUGCUGUAAAUCAGUGCAAGUCUCGGAUCUAGUUCAUGUCUGACCUUGUUUGGGCUCUGCAUAGUUUAGAACUUAGUCAUUUGCGUGGAGGAGAGAAAUGAAUCAUAUUGUUUAUUGUCAUAAUUAACAUGUGUUAUUAAAUUUGCAAAUGGCCACUAAUUGCCCAUGUACAGGGUCUAAGUAUGAAAACUGAAGAUUUCAAGGAGAAACCAGGAUGGAGUCAGUAAAGGCCUGAGAAGCUCUGCACAGAGUACAUGGUGGACGGCUGUGUUGAUUCAUGGAAUGAAGCACUGGGUGAAGUGAUAUUGAAUAUAGCUCACUCUCGAUGGCGUGAAAUUUUGUAGGCUAAUCUGGGGAUUAAUCAUAAAAAUGACUGAAGUCAGGCAUAAGGAGCCUAAACACUGGUAGGUAAUUGGGAAAUAGGUUUUUCUCUUCCAAUACUCUUCAGGAGAGAAAGAGCAUGGCACCUGCCCAGUCUCUCUUUAGGACAAUAUUCCAUGCACCAUGUUGCUUCUAAGCAUUUCUUCACAAAAGGAAGAAAACCCCAGGAUAUUGUAUUAUGUGGCAAUAAUGAGAUGCAGAUAGUCAGGAAGGUCUUUAUUAACUUGCUUAAGGAGAGCUGCUGAGUGGCUUAGAGGAUAAAGGGCUGGAUUUCUCUUUAGAGCCCCCAGUGGGAGUUUAAUUUGCAAUCCAGUGUAGAGACACAAUAUACAAUAGCUGCUUGCUUUAGUGGGUUGAUAGUAUGAAAAAUAUUUACUGGUUAUGAAAGAGAAUCCACUUCUGAGAAGUCUGCCUUAUUUUCAGAAUUUCAGGUGCAAUAGAUCCUUUCCCCACUGACGGUGCAUUAUAGAGCAUCCCGGUUGUAAAGGCUUCUUUGUUGCAUUUGGUUAAUCUAAAAAAUGAUAACCUCUUUACGCUAGAUACGUAUCUCUGGUCUGACUGACAUGCUAGCUGCCGCAGAUUUACAGCUAAUAUGUUAAGGUAAUUUCUCAGGACAGUUCAUGCAAUUCAUAGGGUACCUUUUUGAUCAGAUUGAUCUAAAUAUUUAAUAGUCAUAACCUUCUGCUUGGUUUUGCUCCUCGGUUUCAAAGAAUAAUGAAGUGGCAUGACCUAGCGGGAACAGCAUAGUCACGAGAGCAAUGAGCUUUAUAUUUUCCCAACAAAUAUUUAUUGAGGGGCUGUGAGUAUAGCCCUGGCUUUAUUUAGUCAUGUUUCUCACUUUGCUGUUACCGAUGUCGGUUUCUACGUACACAUAAUUGAGAAAGGAAUGGAUUUUUGCCUGUUUAAAGAAAGUUGCUGUAGAGACAAACGAUGAAGACUUUUUGAUUGUCUGUCUUUCCCCUGUUCCAAUCAUGGUCGCUAUUGAGAAUCACUGCUGAUCAUCUGUCUGUACAGUUCUUAGCAUGGUUCCUGGUGCUAGGUGAGGGCCCACCACCCAUUUAAUUUCUGGUGGGUCUGGGGCAGGCAUCUGACACCCCACUUAUGAGGUUGAAGUCCACAUCCCCAGCAAGUCAUAUGUGUCCUACAAAAAAUAUGCUGGGCUACUCUGCAAGUGAGUACAAUUUCAGUGUGAAUUUCUUUUCAGUAAUUAGGAACUCAGUCCCAAGUAAAACUUUAAAGAGGCCAAGAAAAAGAGAAACGGAAAGUGAGGAGACACGAGUUUUGGAUGUGAGGAAUAAUCCUAGUCUAUCACGUGUGCUGUGCAUCCCUGGUACUGCAGAAGGUAUUUUAUGGCAGGAAAGAUCCUAAGAGUUAAUGCUGAAUUCCUAUGUGACAGAAGAGAAACAAUGGAGAUAAUUCAGAGCCUUGUCAUCAAGCUAACAAGGAGCUUCCAGAAAAUGCCGUGUGUGCACAUCUCCUGCAGCGGCUCCUCACUUUUCCCACGUCACUGACAUUUUGGGAGGAUCCGAUAAAGCUUAUGAAGCCUCUGCCCAAACAAGUGGCAUGUAUACCAUGGGGGCUCAUGGGCCACUUGGAGCUCAACUACGAAUCCACGAGUGGUUUAUGGCCCUCAGUAGAAGGGGCUGUCUGCAAGUGUUCCCUUGGAGAAAUUUGCAGAGUCACAUUGCUUGGUGGAAUGCUAGCCCAAGAAUUAUUUUGUUUGUGUCGUGAAAAAUGACGCCCUGGCUUCGAGAAUCAGGCUUUUGUCAUGAAUAGCAGCUUCAUGCUCGUGAAGACUGAAAUGGAUUGAUUGGUUUGAGUACUUAUUAAAAUGCCUUAAGAAUAAAUGUUUUUUUCUUCUUAAAGAACAUCUAUGAUAAAAUAUUUAUAAAUAUUUAAAUAU
rnacentral:lncRNA from 1 species